ACAAUAAAAAAUAAAACAAAACUUCUUGGGGCGGACCGGGUCAAACCCGGAUCCGAUUCCCUUUUAUCUUCCAUGAAAAAGAAAAACUGAACCCUAGCCUCCUUUUGUGUUCUCUUUUCACGAAAUGCAUUUCCAGAAGAAAAAAAAAUGUUUCCUCAGUGCCUCAAAGCUACCGUCUCUCCUCUCUUUCUCUGCGUUUCAACGAACAACGUCAACAACAAAAAGAAAACGAAACUCUUCCUCACUCGAUCUCAGCUCACUCGAUCUCUCAACUGAUUUCUCUCGGUCGCUCACCUCUCAUUAUAGGCUCUCACUUACUCUCAUUAUUUGACACUCUCGGUCCCUUUCUCCUCAAAAUUUAAAUCAGACCAAACAACAAAACAAAACACCAUUCAAACAGAAACAUCACCGAAAAAGUAUUGUAGUACAAAAGCAAAGAAAUCGCAAAUGUUCAAGAUAUCAACAUUUCAAGUCAGGUUUGGUUAUGGCUAUUUAGGUGUAAUACUUGGCUUGUUGUUGCAGGGCAUUGUAUGGAGCAGAGUCUUUGUUGUUUUGUAACAGGCAAAUGGAGCAGCAAGAAGCAGCAGCUUUGGACAGUAGCGCAGGAAAGAUGAUGGUGAUGUGUGAUGCGUGGGAAAUUUGGGGAUAGAAAGGAUGUUGGUCAAUUUUUUUUUCUUUUUUAUGUAAUAAACUCUAUUUAAUAAAUAAAAGAAAGGAUGAUGUAAAACAAAAAUUAUUUUUAAUGUCUAUAAUAUGAACUCUAUAAUUUCUA